rnacentral:rRNA from 1 species
UACGAAGGGUGCAAGCGUUACUCGGAAUUACUGGCGUAAAGCGUGCGUAGGUGGUUUUUUAAGUCCGUUGUGAAAGCCCUGGGCUCAACCUGGGAAUGGCAGUGGAUACUGGAAAGCUAGAGUGCGGUAGAGGGUAGUGGAAUCCCGGUGUAGCAGUGAAAUGCGUAGAGAUCGGGAGGAACACCAGUGGCGAAGGCGGCUACCUGGACCAGCACUGACACUGAGGCACGAAAGCGUGGGAGCA